rnacentral:rRNA from 1 species
UACGUAGGGUGCAAGCGUUAAUCGGAAUUACUGGGCGUAAAGCGUGCGUAGGUGGUUCGUUGUGUCUGUGGUGAAAGCCCCGGGCUUAACCUGGGAAUGGCCAUGGAAACUGGCGAGCUGGAGUCUGGCAGAGGGGGGUGGAAUUCCGCGUGUAGCAGUGAAAUGCGUAGAGAUGCGGAGGAACACCGAUGGCGAAGGCAGCCCCCUGGGCUAAGACUGACGCUGAGGCACGAAAGCGUGGGGAGCAAACAGG